rnacentral:rRNA from 1 species
CAGUCGCCGCGGUAAUACGAAGGGUGCAAGCGUUCCUCGGAAUUACUGGGCGUAAAGCGUGCGUAGGUGGUGGUUUAAGUCCGUUGUGAAAGCCCUGGGCUCAACCUGGGAAUUGCAGUGGAUACUGGGUCACUAGAGUGUGGUAGAGGAUAGUGGAAUUUCCGGUGUAGCAGUGAAAUGCGUAGAGAUCGGAAGGAACAUCUGUGGCGAAGGCGACUAUCUGGGCCAACACUGACACUGAGGCACGAAAGCGUGGGGAGCAAACAGGAUUAGAUACCCGAGUAGUCCCUGUCUCUUAUAA